rnacentral:lncRNA from 1 species
CUUUCCUGCAAUUAAUGCUAAAUAAAAUCAACAUUUCUCCGACGGGUGUUUCUGGCUCUCAUUAACUCCCUUCUUGCCAUUCAGCAUCUCUUUCCCUCUCAAUAUCUUUUCCUUUCUGUGGUUCUCUUUUGCAUUUUUCUUUGCUCUUCUCCUCUCAUGAACUCUGCUGGCAGCUUCAAAGAGCAGGGCCUGGUUUUAAUUGGGAUUCAUUGAGGGCCAGGAAGAGGGAACUUCCCUUCUCACUUUGCCUUCCUCAAAGUUCCUUUCUGGGGUGAAGAAGGUGGGAGAUUCAGCCAUGGAGGAGAAAGUGAUCCUUGCUAAGGAGCUCCCCGUUUUUAGGGAAAGCUGUGGUGCCUGCUCACAAGUCCUAAAUUUAGUGCCACGUCUGCGGGGCCGUGUGUGACGCACGGAUCAGCCUCAUUCCUCAUGGGAAACUUCCAGCCUGUGCCACUUUCACCGUCUGGAACAAAUGAGCACCUCCUGGUGAUGCCAUCAGCCCAUGGGAGCAGCAGCCAGAGCUGGAGACGUUCUUGGAAGCCGUAGGAGUGUGGGAUUGUGUAACCUGUUGGCAAAGGUCUAACCCAGCCUGAUAAAAACGGCACUGUCACCAACUGCUUCCAAACAGGAAUGAUGGAGCCCUGAAGAAAUUCCCUCUGAUGUGGCUUGAGAUGGUGACCGUGGCUCAGAAAAGCCGGAAAGCUCCAGGUUCAUUGUCCAGGUGGUCGGAUUUUCAAAUCUUGGAUCAUCUUACAUCCAGAAUCUGUCUCCUUGCACCAAAAUAUCCCAGAAUAUUUCAGAAGCUGCAGCUUUCUCUGCAGGAUCUGCUCCAGGUGACCCAGAACUUUG